UCCAGACUCCUACGGGAGGCAGCAGUGGGGAAUAUUGGACAAUGGGCGAAAGCCUGAUCCAGCCAUGCCGCGUGUGUGAAGAAGGUCUUCGGAUUGUAAAGCACUUUAAGUUGGGAGGAAGGGCAGUAAAUUAAUACUUUGCUGUUUUGACGUUACCGACAGAAUAAGCACCGGCUAACUCUGUGCCAGCAGCCGCGGUAAUAC
rnacentral:rRNA from 1 species